AGCACUCAACAUGCAGGAUUUGAAGACGGACAAUACAGCUCUCUUUCUGGUGUCUGCUGCUUUGGCUACAAGUCUGAUUGUCAUAGCCUUUCUCAGUUAUUUCAUCAAGACAAAAACUUGUGAUUUCUGCAACGAUGCUGCAGCAGCCAGUGGUCAUCAGGAAAGACCACAGAAGGAUUUGGACACAUGGAUUUAUUCUGCUGUUACCUUUACUGUGGUAAAGACUGACAGCGGUGCAAUAAAGGAGGCCAAAGUAGCAGAGAGAGAGAGGAUCUACACUGCUGUCAAGGCUUUUGGACUGGAUUAGUGAGUUAACAGAUGUUUGGAAUCUGUUUGUAUUGAAUAAUGCAGUGUUGUUUGUUUACUACUAAAGGGCUUUGUAUUUACUGUAGUACAAUGCAUUGAUAACAUUUAGUGAAGAAGUUGUCAUUGUUUUUAAAUGUCUUCAGACUGAAUUUUUUUUUUCAUCCACACACUUGCAAACAGGAAGAACCUCAAACUGAAAUGUUCUUAGUUUGAAAUUUGACUGAAAAUAUUUGUUUCACCUCUCUUCCUCAUUUUGUCACUUCUGUCUGUAAUAAAGCAAUAAAAAAACUUCAAAAGGUACCUUCAAAGGGCGAGCAAUUCAUGUUUUUCAAGCAGAAAUAUAUAAACUGUGCUGUUCAUGUUUCUUCAAGUUAAAUACAGAUACUUGGUUUAAGUGGAAAGUACAGAAAUCAUAAACAACGUGCACAAAUGCUGUCAACAGCAGAGUUCCAGCUAUAAUUUCUUAGAUUUUUUCCCCAUGUUUCUUGCCGAUGUUCAUCACAACUCUCCAGUAAAGUCAAAAUUCCAAAAAAUAAAUCUUCAAGUUCUUACUACUGUCAAUUAAUUUUUUAUUUUUUUUUAA